CCUACGGGCGGCAGCAGUGGGGAAUAUUGCACAAUGGGGGAAACCCUGAUGCAGCGACGCCGCGUGAGUGAAGAAGUACCUCGGUAUGUAAAGCUCUAUCAGCAGGGAAGAAAAUGACGGUACCUGACUAAGAAGCCCCCGCUAACUACGUGCCAGCAGCCGCGGUCAUACGUAGGGGGCGAGCGGUAUCCGGAUUUAUUGGGUUUAAAGGGUGCGCAGGCGGUGGGGCAAGUCACCGGUCAAAUUGCGGGGAUCAACCCCGUACUGCAGUUGCAACUGGAUACCGUGAGUGCGCGAGAGGUAUGCGGAAUGCGUGGUGUAGCGGUGAAAUGCAUAGAUAUCACGCAGAACACCGAUUGCGAAGGCAGCAUACCGGCGCGCGACUGACGCUCAUGCACGAAAGCGUGGGUAUCGAACAGGAUUAGAUACCCCAGUAGUC
rnacentral:rRNA from 1 species